UGGAAACGAACUACGCGCGGUGUACCAU
rnacentral:sRNA from 1 species